rnacentral:tRNA from 1 species
AAAAAUGAAAUCAAUUAUGAUGUUUCAUUUACAAUGAAAAUUUUGUAUUAAUUUACCAUUUUUUU